rnacentral:tRNA from 1 species
GCCUGGCUGGCUCAGUCAGUAGAGCAUGUGACUCUUGAUCUCGGGGUCGUGAGUUGGAGCCCCACGCUGGGCA